GGGUCAGUAGGUUGGUCGUGCCACCGGUACGUACUGGUCUCGCUGAUUCCUCCUUCCUGAAGAACCGUAAUGCCAUUAAUUUGGUAUUGCGGGGAAACAGGACUGUUACUUUGAAAAAAUUAGAGUGUUUAAAGCAAGCUAACGCUUGAAUACAUUAGCAUGGAAUAAUGAAAUAGGACGAUCGAUCCUAUUUUGUUGGUUUCUAGGAUUGACGUA
rnacentral:rRNA from 1 species